AAUUUUAAUAAUUUUAAAUGAAAUUACACAUGACAAAACUGUAUAAAAAUGUGUUACCUUGGAACUUGUAUUGAGCCUAAAAAAAGUGUUCUUUUUUUUCUCACUUUAGACAACUGUGGCAAAACUUUAUUUUUCACCGGUCAAGAAGACCAUUUGGUGCCAUCAACCUCCCGAACUCUGCUGGAUAGUGACCUGUUCCGCAUUGUUGGACGCAUGAUUGGCCAUUCUUUCAUUAAUGGUGGUCCCUUAUUGACUGGACUUAGCCCUGCUAUGUUUGGAAUAAUAACUGGACAAAUGAAUGAGACAGUCAUAAUUCAACUGGAAGAUUGCCCUGACACCAAUGUAAUUGACAUUGUCCAUCUGGUAUGUACAACAUAAAACCUACCUCUGAUCAUUGUUUUGUGCAAAUAAAAAUUACUGUGAAAAUGAGAAUAUUUGAACUAGAUUAGUAUAUUUUUUGCUAACAUUGAUUUUAUUACAGCUUCAAAGAUCAAAUACACUUUCUGAUGAUGAGCGUGCAAAAGUGAAUGACCUGGCUGUCAUUUGGGAUCUGCCUCGGGUCACUGUGGAAAACAGACUGUGGCUAGCCCAAAGCCUUCUUCACCAUGCGGUCAUUGGCCGGCGGGAGAAACAGAUGCAGCAGUUGAAAAAAAGACUGUAGGAUACUGGAGUUUUGCGCAUGGUUAAAGAACGACCUUCUCUUAUUGAAGUCCUAUUUCCACGAUCAUCUUCCCUGACAAUUGAUGCACAGAUGAUCCUGGAAAAAGUAAUAUGGCCAAACCCUGACAGUGAUGAUGAGGAGAACUUCAAUCUGGAAACAUGCUGCAGAAUCACAUCCUAUUUACGGCAAUACGUUGAACAAGGUACACCACAAGAGCUGAAAAAUCUUGUUGAGUUUUGGGUUGGAUGGACAAGCCUACCACAGGAACUGUACGUGGAAGUGUCUCCUGACGUCAGAAUGCCAACUGCCUCAACAUGCAGGGAGACCCUUAAAAUCCCACUGCAUUACAGUGAUUAUGAAGAAUUCUGCGCUGAUCUAAAUGCAGCUGUGUCCAGCAACAGCUUUGUUUUGGUUUAGUCUAAAAUGAAUAUUUCGUAAACCCUCAUGUUGUCUUAGGGUUCUGUUUGGAAUUUUGAGACUUUUGUUACAUUAUUUGUCUAAACGCAUAAUAAACCUGGGUUUGAUUUAAUUGUUCUGAAGGUAUGUAUAAUUUUGUUCUUGUCCAUUUCACAUUGGUUUCAUUUUUCAAUAAAAUGAUUAAAUCCCACAUAAAUCUAAAAAAACUGACAAUGAAAGCCUGAUACUACACCACAAAUGUAAAGUGUAACAAACAUUCUUACACACCUACUGGUUUAACUGCAACAGGCAGCAUUUUUAUUUAAUUUUGCAAA
rnacentral:lncRNA from 1 species